GGUGGUUUAGCUCAGUUGGUUUAGAGCAUCGGUUUGUGUACCGAGGGUCGUGGUUCGAGCCCAUAUUCCACCC
rnacentral:tRNA from 1 species